GGCAGAUACUAGAAUAAACAAAACUUAAAGGCCCAAAAGAAAAAGGGCCAAAGUUUCAAACCUUUCUAGGGUUAGGGUUUGAGCCUUCCGACCCUUUCGAAGAAGAGACCCAAGAGGCAAAUCAGUAGAUUUGGUGGGAAUAAAGUGAGAGAAAAUGUCGAAGAAGAAUAAUUUAGCUCGCAGAAAAAAGCAGUAUGAAUUCGACCUUCGAAGAGAGAAACAAGAGAAAGAAAAGAAGACGAUGAAGCUUUCGGCGAAGAAGAAUAAGAUGAAAGUUGAUACUAGGAGCAAGAAAAAGAAGGGUGCAGGUGGUUUUCAAGUUGGGAAGAGAAAGGUGAAGACCAAAUUGACUGCCUUGGCAAAAGCUAAAGCUGCUCAGGCCAUGGAGAUUGAGAAAUAAGGUUCAAAUAGAAUGUGAAGGUGGUUGUGCUAAAAAGUUAGGUGAAAUCGCUUUGUAGUGGAUAUGCAUGUUUUUUCAAUUUAUGGGUUUUUAAUUUAGAAGGGAGAUGGGAGAGUUUAUCUUUCCUGUUUCCACAAUCAUAUUUUUGUUUGCUUUUAUGAAAAAAAAUUUCGAUAUUAUAUGGAAAUUGUGGAUUGUUUA